rnacentral:lncRNA from 1 species
GCUAGGAGACCCCUUCUCCUGAAUCCCAGUGGCAGCAUCUCUGCCUGGAUGCUCUCAGGAGCAGUGUAAAGUCCAGAUGUCAGGAGCUGUCUAGCGACCCUUGUCGUCUGAGUUUCCACCAGAAAACAUGAAAAUAGUGAAAAAACAGUGAACAGUGAAAUUAUGUUUUUUUGGCAAGCAUGUCCCUGUGAAGAAACCAUCAGGAGAUUCAGAAUUGUGGCUUCACAGAAUUUUUACAGAGGUGGGGACUUCUUUUACACAUCUUAACUCCUCAAAUAAUGAGAGAGAAAAGAGGAAACAACAACAGCAACAACAACAACAACAACACACACAGAGGAAGAAAAUGAACAAAAAACCAAACAGAACUCACAGCCCAUUCCCUAGCCUUUUCUCUCCUCUCUUUUUUCAGCCUACUGGUGCAGAGAGGAGAGUGGCUUUUUAUUCUGUGCUGUUUUGCAUCUAGUUCUCCACAGGAAGCCUGCCUAAUCUAACAGCUCCCUCCGACUGACUCCAGGCCAGUAGCUGGGUCUUCACAGGAAGAUCAGUGAGCUGUUGAUAAGCCCUGCCGAACUGGACCAUGUUUCAAGAUCAGAGCAAUAUAACUAAGAAACAGCUUUCCAGGAGAACACAACAUAUUUCAAGGAAUAUAAGAACCUCUGGGGUGGAUGCGACUUGCUGUUAUGAAAGAAGCUGUGCACUGAAUUCCUCUGGAGAAAUUACAGAACUGCCAAACUGACAUACAUCCUUACAUCCUCUUCACUAGGAUUAUUAAUAAUGCCGCCAAUGUGAUUAAUCUUAUAUUUUCAAAGAUCCUUUUAAAAACAAGCAUUUAACGCUUGACUGAAAUCAAGAGAGACCUCAGAGUGGGUACAGGGUGGGAUUCAGAGAGAAAGGAGUGUGUGCCAGAUGUGCAACAGUGAAAUGUUUUGCCUUCAGUAUCUCUCUCAAGUGAUGUCCCAGUUGUGUAACUCCCCCAUUCUGCCUCAUUCUUGAGAUUGCAUAUCCUCAGCAGACAUUAAUAAUAAUAAUAAAGAAAUGGUUUCUCUUUCUGUAAACA